rnacentral:rRNA from 1 species
UACGGAGGGUGCAAGCGUUAUCCGGAUUCACUGGGUUUAAAGGGUGCGUAGGUGGGCAGUUAAGUCAGUGGUGAAAUCUCCGGGCUCAACCCGGAAACUGCCAUUGAUACUAUCUGUCUUGAAUAUCGUGGAGGUAAGCGGAAUAUGUCAUGUAGCGGUGAAAUGCUUAGAUAUGACAUAGAACACCAAUUGCGAAGGCAGCUUACUACCCGAAUAUUGACACUGAGGCACGAAAGCGUGGGGAUCAAACGGG